rnacentral:tRNA from 2 species
UGGGAUAGCUCAGUUGGUAGAGCAGAGGACUGAAAAUCCUCGUG